GGGCACUCACUCGGCGUAGCCUGCGUUCCAGGGCAGCGCGCGGCCCCGGGCUGGGCUGCGCACGGGCCGAACGUCCGGACGGCGCGAGGCGUCGGCGGCGCCGGGGCCCGAGCCCGAGCCGCGCAGGAAGCGGGGCCGCCGGCAAGAUAAUUGAGGCCUAGAGAAGCCAAGACGCUGGCCCCGUAACACGCAGGAACCCGAGGAGGCUGAAUGUUCAUCCACGGAGGUGGAGCGCGAGGCUUGCAGCGGGGAAAAUCUGCCCUCCUGGCCCCCGCACCCAACGAGGCCACAGGGGUCGCUCAGAGCACACCCCGGGCCUCCAGGCUGGGUCAGGGACCUGGGCCUCCUGCUCCUGGCCCAACCUUACGCAAGGACAAGCCGGGGACAGGAUGUCCUUGGAGGUGUCAGACUGACACACUGAAUAAGAAUCUCAGAGCACGGUGUUCCCUCGGGUGGCCUCCGUUCCUCACCCACACGGCCUGGCACCCCUCCUCCCUAGAUGGGGCUGGGGCUUGGAGGCCACCCUGGCUUCCUCAUCCCCAGAUAUGGCUGCCUGCCUUUGGGGCCAGUCUCUCAAACGGCUGCCACUCCAUAAAGUUCUCUCUGGACAAACAGCAGGAUCCUCACCAGGCCCAGUGCCCCUGUGUGCUCCUGUGAUUUCCAUCUCAUCUCCUAACAAGGACUCUGAAGCCACAGAGGGGAAGUACCCUGAUGCCCAGGGUUGUGCUGUUUCCAUUAUGAUGAUGCAGCUGACAAACCCCCGACCCCACACCCACACACACACACACAGUGCAUUUCUCUUCCCCUUUCCUCCUCCAGGAAGACAGACUUGGCAACUCCAAGUCCCUGAGGCUCCUGGUCCAGUGCCCCCUGGAAGGGGUCUACAGAAGAGGUCCCUCCCUCUGCCUUGCUCCAAAGCCCAGUGCAUGUUCAACUAGGCCAUACUUCUUUGGGUGGCCAGCCCUGCCCCACUGGGAGUUCCCUCUGCCCAAGGGGGAAUGUUCUUGGGGUGUCCAGCACCCCUUGCCAGAUGACUCAGCUCCAGAGCAGCCUGGGAGCUGAUUUCUGGUCUGAGCCAGUCCCUGUGCUGGGUGCACCUCACUAAUGGGGUGGGCUCCCCUGUGGUGAUAGUGGAAGUCCUGGUGGACAGAGCUGGGUGGCUGGAAGGGGUGGGGGCAGAGUCAGAGAAAACUUCCCAAAGGACACCUGAGCUAUGAACUGUCACUGUGACAAAAAUGGACCAGGUACCCAGGGUGAGGCAGACCCAAUUCAGUCUGUGGGGUCACCUCCUCAGACACGCAGCCAAUGGCUCAGAGGCUUUUAAUGUUUAAAGUAGAGGAAACAAUGUAAACACAGUCUGUUUUCCCAACCCACUGCUUGAACGUCGCUGGAUGGGUUGGAGUUCCUGUUUUCUAAGGUGUAUUCAGAGCAGUUCCUGGAAGCCAGACAUCACAGGUGGUCUGUUGCCAGGUUAGCUGUUUUGUUUUCAGAGCCAAGUAGAGCCUUAUCCUCCCACCCUCCCGUUCCAAGGUGGCCUGAGGGUUCCUUCAGUGUCACCCAGUCUCCCAGCUCCCAAGGCUCCUGGGAACCUCUGCUCUCACCUGGAUCCCAAGGCUGACUCUCUUACUCCCUUAUUUUGUUGAAGCACACACUCGAACAACUUUCUAAGAAAGGAUGGCUAGAAAGUGAUUCCCCAGAUCCUUGUAAGUCCGAAAGGGUUUGUAUUCGCCUUUGCUUUUGAUUGACAUUUUGGCUAAGGAUUCUAACAGCUCUGUUCAUUGUCUUCUGACUUGCUGGUGCUGAAAUCCAGGGCCCAGCCCCUUCCCAGGUCUUGGGAUUGGCUCCUGGAAGCCCUUUUUUCUGUCUCCAGAAGCUUCCAGGCUCUGUCUGUGGUGUCUGAAACUGUGAGCCUCUAGGAGUGGACCUGUCUUCAUUCCCCGUCUGAGCCCUCUCUGGGGACCACGCAACUCCUCCAUCCACAGUGACACCCUUCUCCCACUGCUAGAAUGAACCCAAGCGUGCCCCUCCUCACCAGCUCAGCCAGCUUGUGAGGAGGUGGGGGAACAGCAAGCUUAGAAAAAAGAAAAAGAUUCUUAUGCUACAUUUUUUUUCACUCCCAAUGAAAAUAGCUUUUGUUGAGUUCUGUAUCUGUUCUUAACAAGAUUUAUUUAGAUUUUUAAAAUUGAAUACUUUUGCACAACUCAAAAUUCAAAAGGUAUAAAGUGUAUCUAGCAACAAGUCUCCCCUACAACCGUCCCUGGCCACCCAGGUCCCUCCGUGGAGACAAUCAGUACUACCAAUUUCUUGUGGAUCCUUCCAGAGAUGUCAGGGGUAUUUCGUGCCAAUUCAGGUGCACAUGCUUAUGCACACGCGCACACACACACACACACACACACACACACACACACACACACACACACGAAAUAAUAAGUGUUGACAAGUAUGUAGAGAAAAAGGAACCUUCAUGCACUGUGGUGGGAAUGUAAAUUGGUGCAGCCACUAUGGAGAACAGUAUGGAGGUUCCUCAAAAAAUUAAAAAUAGAAAUACCAUAUGAUCCAGCCCUUCCAUUUGUGGGUAUUUAUCUGAAGAAACCAUCAUCAAUAUCUCAAAAACAUAUUCACACUUCCAUGUCCACUGCAGCAUUAUUUACAAUAGCGAAGACAUGGGAACAUCUUAAAGUGUCCAGUUUUUUGAUGAAUGGAUAAAGAAAAUGUGAUGUACACAUGUAGUGGCAUAUUAUUCAGCCACUAAAAAAAAAGGAAAUUCUGUCAUUUGUGACAACAUGGAAGGACCUUGAGGCCAUUAUGCUA